rnacentral:rRNA from 1 species
GACGAACGCUGGCGGCGUGCUUAACACAUGCAAGUCGAGCGGUAAGGCCCCUUCGGGGGUACACGAGCGGCGAACGGGUGAGUAACACGUGGGUAACCUGCCCUAAAGUGGGGGAUAACAUUUGGAAACAGAUGCUAAUACCGCAUAAAUCUUGGAACCUCAUGGUUCCAAGCUGAAAGAUGGCGUAAGCUAUCGCUUUUGGAUGGACCCGCGGCGUAUUAGCUAGUUGGUGAGGUAAAGGCUCACCAAGGCGAUGAUACGUAGCCGACCUGAGAGGGUGAUCGGCCACAUUGGGACUGAGACACGGCCCAAACUCCUACGGGAGGCAGCAGUAGGGAAUCUUCCACAAUGGACGAAAGUCUGAUGGAGCAACGCCGCGUGAGUGAAGAAGGUUUUCGGAUCGUAAAACUCUGUUGUUGGAGAAGAACGUACGUGAGAGUAACUGUUCACGUAGUGACGGUAUCCAACCAGAAAGCCACGGCUAACUACGUGCCAGCAGCCGCAGUAAGAC